AAGCGUAAGAAGGAUCUCACCGGUAAUUUCAGCACCAACCGUGCUCGUUCGAUCAAUGUUAAUUCCCUAAAGCACCUUAGUUUUUGGUUUUUUUUUCCCAUCGAUAGUGAAUUUAUUUUUCAUAUUAUCUUUUUCAUGGUUAACCCUUCUUAGUUUUUUGUGAAAUAUUGGGAGGAAGGGUAUAGAAUUAAUAUUUGUAUUCCUAUCCAAAGUUUUGCCUGAUAUAUUAUCUUUCUCACGUUGAGGCUUCAUUGGCAGUCUGUUUUCAAAAUGAUUUGAUCCUUUACCAUUGAUUAAAAUAAUCUUGUUUUUUCGUUUUUGUUGCAGUCAUUACAAUCGGCCGCGCGGAGAGCAGGGACUAGUUGUGCAAAUUGUAAAACAACGACAACGACCUUAUGGAGGAGAAAUCAAAAUGGGGAACCUGUAUGCAAUGCGUGUGGCCUUUACUAUAAGCUACAUAAUGUGAACCGGCCUCUAACGAUGAAGAAGGAAGGGAUCCAAACUAGGAAUAGGAAAUUGUCAUCCAAGUCGAAGAAGAAGAAAGGGAGCGGGAGCACUGGAUGUCUGGCGCUGAGGGGUCAUGUCGGAUAUGAUCAAGCCACUGGACCCGAGCGGGAUGGGCGGCAUGGGAGGAAUGGGCGGAAUGGGCGGGGCGGGCGGGAAGGGCGGCUUCGGCGGCGGAUUUAGUCAACACCAUCACCUGAGCCCUUCCCUCCACAGUCACCCCAUGUCCCACUACAUGUACCAGGGUCACCACCAGGGCUUCGUCGCCCCCGGGCCCCCCGCCCCGCCCCCCGGAAUGCACCACCACCACCACCACCAUCUCACCGGCCUCGGCCUCGCCUCCACUUCCAAUGGAAUGGCAAGUUGGAGAUCUGAAUACACUUGAUAAACUGAUUUUAGGAGUUUGUCCUUAGAAGCCUAAAAAAGUGUGUCCGAAUGUCCGCUCGUUAUGGUGUGGUCGAGGCUCUAGCUGUUAUUGAGGAAUUUGAGGGGAGGACCUGAUGAUUACGCACAAUUUAAAUACGUUAUGCUUUAAAUUCAUCGUUCGAUAACGAUGGCGGAAUCCAAGAAUAACUCACUUUGUAGAUGCAUCAUUCUCGUUUAAAUGCGUUUACAAAGAGCUGUUUGUGGUUGGUAGUAGGUAGAUGGUUUGAUGAAGCCCUCCGAAAAUCAUAAUAGGAGAAUUAUAUGAUUGUAUUAUUUAAUCAAAGUGUGAUAUCAUAGUUUAAAUUUAUUAGUAGGGAAUUUAUUAUUACUUGGUGAUAUUCGUAAAUGUAUUUAAGGGGUUUGUUCUUCUUAGUUUAAUCGCCAGAGUAUGGAUAUCUGAUCAAAUUUAGAGUUCUGGCGCAGAGCCUAAACAUACUAGCUCACCUGCCAUGUGGCAUAACUAAACGUUUAUUUUUUCUCAUUAGUGGUAAAUGGAUGGAUAGGGGAGGAUGAAGUCAGGAUUCAUCUAUGAAUCACCACUAUUUUUCAUUUAACAAUUUAAUGCCUGGCUGCUAAGUAUUACAAUAUGUAAUUUUUUACCUCAGAAACAAGAGUGAUUCGUUGUUCUUCUUAGAGGGUUGCCGCUAAAUUCUCUUGCCUUGGGGUUCUUUUUUCAUUCUUUUAGACAGUAUGGAGUUUAGAUAUUUGUAAGAACGCAACAAAAUUUAUUGAAGUUUUAUACGAUACCAAACAUAUCUGUAUUCGGUACUUGAUAUUCCCUCCGAGUGUUUCUUUUGACCACGAGACACGAGUAUGUGAACAAGUUUUUGUUCUCUUUGAAGUAGAUCUUUUUCAAGAGGAGGCAUUUCAAGCUGCUUUUAUCUCACAACUUCCAUAAUAUUACUGCUACGCUUACGCAUGAUCGAUUAUUUUCAAAUCAGCAUUACAUGCAUCAUUAAAACGCAUGAAAGAUUUUUUCCCAACAACUUUUCUGCGUAUCAAGUGUGAGAGUUUUUUUGUUUUUUUAAAUACCAGAUGUCAAAAAAGAUUGACUUUAAUAAUUUUAAUGGCCUCCCAGGAAGUAUACAAUCAUAUUUUCCGAUCCUCUGUAGCUAGGUUAUACCAAAAAAGGCAGAAGUGUUCCUCAAUUGUUUUCAAAACUGUCCAAGACACAGGGUUUUAUAAUCUUUUUUGAGUUGGAAAGAGUCAAAAAGCCAUAAUACAUGGUCAGGGUAAAUAUUGACGGUGGGGUUUUGUCACAAUUUGAUCUCCAAAAUAUAAAACAGGCUAAAAUGAGUAGCUUUGGUUUUAUUUUGACACAUGUUGUAUACCCUCAAAUUGAUCAAUGUAAAAAAGGGAUAAGAAAAUCAUGAAAGUAUUCCAAUGGUAAAUAUUUUAAAGCUCUGCUGGUUUUAAAGAAAAUAUUUAAAAUUUAUAAUGGAAAAAUUGUUCAUUACAUUUUAACUGGAAUUUAUUAUAAAAAUGUUUAUUUUCUUAAUCAGUAAUUCAUAGAGUUUUGAUCUCAGAUUCCGUAUUAGAAUCACUUUCAUAAACAAAUAUGUCUGCGAAUGCACAGUCUACGUUUAUCAAUGCUUUUUUUCUUUCUUUUUUUUAAUAAAUUAAAUCCGACUUCGCUAUCGGGAUCGUCAAACGAUUUCAAUCAUCACAUCUUUUUAUGUAAUUCUUCAAAAUCUGAAACACAAUUCACAUUACCAAGUGUAAAUAGAAUAUGUAACAUAAGUUCAAUUAUUUGUUGUAUUAUAUUUAGCAAAUUGUAACAAAAUGUAAAAAUGUAUAUAGCUCUGUUUAGAGCAGUAAAUUUUCUAAAAUAAAAUGUAAGUAAUGUAAAUUAAUUGUGGAUCGAUUUAAACUUUGUAAAAGUGUUUUAUGUCGGUAAAAUUGCUCCCUCAAAUGUGUUAAGAGCUAUCAAAAAAGGUUUCCCAUUUUGUCUGCAAAUUUAUGUAAAGAAAUUUCGUCUGUGCUUAAGGCGGCCAGUUAAAUCCAGUGUAAAAUUAUAAUUUCAGUAUUAUGCAGGCGAUGCAGUCAUAUUUCAUUUUAAAAUUUAAAGUAUGCCAUUCCCUACAAGGGUGAACGUAAUUUGGGUCUUGAAAUGAGACUUAUGCGAAAGAUUAUUCAUUGAAACGUCUUCUUUUUCAAAUUUAAUUUUUUCCUUAUUUUUCUUCACGUCGUAUACUCGUCAAUUCUAAUUUAUUUUUUAUUUAAACAAAAAAGAAAUAUUCCUGAAUAAAGACUUCCUUUUUUAUGACAGUUUAUUCCCUAAAUUUGUUCAAUUUUAGACUGAUCCAAUAAUUUUUUAUUAGAUCCAACGAAGAAUUGUACCAAAAAUCUUACUAUACCUAAGCAUUUUGGACUCAAUCGAAGUACAACCGCCAUAAUUUAUUGAUAACUAAUCAUAUCUUAUGGUCAAAUGAUUUCAUAACUUAGAUGAGUUGUAUUCGCGUCAUCGAUCUCAUCAAGGCGGAGAAAUUUUCAAAGGAAAAGAAGAAAAGAAACAACCACUGUCAUUGAGAACUAACGGUUACACGUCCCAAAAGAAAAUCUCAACUAACAUGUACUAAAAAUGAAUGGAUAUGACAUUCAACUUAUUGUAUUUGAAAAUCUAGUCUGUGCUAUUGCUUCCUUUAAAACUUGCCCCGACAAACCUUGAAAAGCCUCAUUUAUAACGCUUCUUCUUUGUAAUAUUGGAACUAAGUUGUGAGUACAAAUUCAAGCGACAUUCAUCGUCUAUAUUUUUAUGUUUUCAAUCAAGUGAUUUUUUGACUCUCAUUAAGGCAGAUUUCAGUCAUAUGAACCGAACUUCGCUGUCUCGCAUCGCCCUAACUAUUUGGUUUGUCAAACUGAAAUUUCAGUUCACAUGACUAAAUUUUGUUCAUCAAUUCACUUUACCGCCGAAGUUCGGUUGCACAAACCAAAAGUUCGAUUUUCGUAAAUGAAUAGUUGAAGUGAUAUGGGGGGCACCGAACGUUCGGACCAUAUGCCCGAUCUUUUUUUCAGUGAGAGCAAAUUGGUUAUAUGAUUAGUGAUAUUGUGUUUAUGACCUUCAUAAUUUUAGAAAAAUUUUGAAAUAACGCGUAAACAGAGAGAUCACGAUACAUAAUCGUUUUCUCUUUUGAUUUUUCACUUCUCUAAAAUGAUAAUUAAUAUUUAUUUAAACAACCUAUUCGGAAUUCGUGCAAUAUUACAUUAAAUUAAGAAACAAAAACCCAUCUUAUUCUUGUACUUGAUUCUCAAAACCCUCAUUUUUUCCUUCCCAAUAAUUAUAUGGUUCCUUUAUCAACCAAUCAGUUUGUCAAUGGUUUGGAAACUCACUCAAACUGUUCUAUGCAAAGUGAAUUAGAAUGAAAAAAGCGGAAAAUGAUUUUUUAUCUGCACACUUUAAUCCUCAAAUGGACUGUGGUAUUAAGUUUUCCCAACUGAUCAUAUUAUACGGCAAAUUGCCUGAAAAACUCGGAUAUUCAGUGAUUGAUGUACCUAUUUUACUUAUGUAUAAGGACCAACGCCCACCUUUUUUUCUUUCUUAUGAAUUAAAACUGUAAUUAAAUUAUGUACAUAUUUAUAAAAUUGAUUUUAAUAAUGUGCAAAUUGAUGUACCUAAAAAGCUCUGACUUCUUUUCUCACAUCAACC
rnacentral:lncRNA from 1 species